UUACUCUUGGCCACGAGUCCAAGGCCACACUCGGAGAGACCCCAGUGGCGGGACAAUACGUACUGAGGUCAUGGAUCCCUCGGGGCAAAGGGGCUCGUCACCCAUGGAGGCGACGGCACCCAAGCCAGGGAGACUGAGCCGCCCCGGACAGGGUUCAAGGGGCUGUUGCUUCAAUGGAAGGGACUCGGAGAGCAGAGAGGCAAGUACUGACAGCCUCGGGAAGGGCUGGCUCAGGAGGCCGCACUGUGACUCGACAGUGGAAGGGGGGCCAGUGAUGACAGAAGGUUCCCGGGGGAGCCGCCUGGCGCAUCGGGCUUCAGUGCAGGGCAAAGAGGUCAAGUGACGGACUGGAGUUGUUCUGGGGCCGUUGGCAGCCUCUCCCGGGAGGAUAAGGGGGAAGGGUGGGGGAGGGAGAGGGCGGCAAGGUGCGGGGGCAGGCAGAUGGGCAAAACGCGGAGAAGGAAGCAAAAUUGUCCUGGAGCCCCUUAAGGAGUCUUUUCUAGAGAGAGAGAGAGAGAGAGAGAAAGUGGGUAAAAAAUGAGAAACAAGCCAAAUAGCGAGAGAAACCUGCUUUUUACCAUGACCCGGCCUUCGACCAGCUCCCAGGAGGACGUGGGUCUGUGCUUCCGGCGGGAGGAGCUGACCGGGGGGUUUGGGGAAUCUGUGACAGCUGCGGUGGCUGCACGGCCUUGUGGGGACGGCCGUGUCCAGGCUGGACAAUACGCGGACGGCGGGUUCCCUCCUACAACCCGUUGCUUAUUCCCGCUGACGUGCUCAGCAUCAUCAGCAUCGUCGUCAUCAUCAUCGUCACCACCAGUAUUAACAGCCCCCAAGUCACAGUCCGUGAAUAUGGCUCCGAUUCCAAUGGCAGGUUCCAAGUCCACGAAGGACGCUGUAAAAGCCUCACCCCCCGGAGCACGGCGGCCUCUGCGUCAACCUUUACGUCCUGACUCGAGUCUUUGAUUAUCCCCCCACGGUGGUGUCUGAGGUUGCUCUUCACAUCCUACCGUAGUUUUCACUAGGAUCAUGUUAAUAUUUGCUUUUUAUGGACACCCUCUUCCCCCGUCUGCGUCCAUAGUCAUUUCCUAAAGGCACGGUUUUUAAAAACCUCAUAAAUCCCCGGGUGGCUCAGCGGUUUUGCGCCAGCCUUUGGCCCAGGGCGUGAUCCUGGAGUCCCGGGAUCGAGUCCCGCGUCGGGCUCCCUGCACGGAGCCUGCUCCUCCCUCUGCCUGGGUCUCUGCCUCUCUCUCUCUCUCUCCGUCUAUCAUAAAUAAAUAAAAAUAAAUCUUUAAAAAAAUACUUAAA
rnacentral:lncRNA from 12 species